rnacentral:rRNA from 1 species
AUUGAACGCUGGCGGCAGGCCUAACACAUGCAAGUCGAACGGUAGCACAGAGAGCUUGCUCUCGGGUGACGAGUGGCGGACGGGUGAGUAAUGUCUGGGAAACUGCCCGAUGGAGGGGGAUAACUACUGGAAACGGUAGCUAAUACCGCAUAACGUCGCAAGACCAAAGUGGGGGACCUUCGGGCCUCACACCAUCGGAUGUGCCCAGAUGGGAUUAGCUAGUAGGUGGGAUAAUGGCUCACCUAGGCGACGAUCCCUAGCUGGCAUGAGAGGAUGACCAGCCACACGGGAACUGAGACACGGUCCAGACUCCUACGGGAGGCAGCAGUGGGGAAUAUUGCACAAUGGGCGCAAGCCUGAUGCAGCCAUGCCGCGUGUAUGAAGAAGGCCUUCGGGUUGUAAAGUACUUUCAGCGGGGAGGAAGGGGGUGAAGUUAAUAGCUUCAGCGAUUGACGUUACCCGCAGAAGAAGCACCGGCUAACUCCGUGCCAGCCGCCGCCGUAA